UUGUCUGAUGGCACUAAUGUUGCUGUUGCUGCUACUACUGUUUGAGAAUACUAGCUCGACGCACAUUAGUGGCACGUUUGAUACAAAGAAUUUCUUCAAGUUCCUUAUAAAGUUUGGCUUUCAAAAAACAGAUCCUCACAGGCAAAGAGACUCUUACGGCUAUAUUUUCGGAAAUGUUACUUCGAAAACGGAUUUUUCGAGAAAUAUCACCUUAGCUGUAUUAGAUCGCAACCACUUUUUGGAGUAUUAUGGAAACCGUAUGAUUAGAGAUAAAAAGUUAGCUUGUACCAGAAUGUUUAAGACUUUGAACCAGAGUUCGUACGAUAUGAAAUGCAAUGACAAUGGACAAGAUUAUUUAAGAAGAGUACCUUGUCAAGCAGGACAAUUAUGUCCUGAUGAAAAUUUACCAUGGAAUGUAGUUAGUGGUAACCAAUUUACUUUUACAAUCAGAGACGACUUUCAACCACGCUUUUGGUACGUUAGUCUGGUAGCUUGCUACAGAAAUAAUGAAACUUGCCAAUGGGAAUAUUAUGACAAGCAGGAUGAACUAGAAUACGAUAUCUGGCUAAUCAAUGGAAAUCCCAAUAACACUGGCUUGAGUAGUCUAAGCUCCUACCAAUUUUCAUACGACAGACAAAACACCAUUGAACUCUAUUUGUUAUUUUUUAUAUGUUACACUGUAUUAGUGCCACUACAGCUGUUUGCAGUAAGAUUACAAAAGCAUCCUGUUACAAAACUUUUUACAGCAAGUCUCCUCUUGGAAUUCAUGGCUCUGAGCCUGAUUCUUGUGCAUGUACUCAAGUUUGCCUUUGAUGGAGUUGGCUAUGAGCAGCUAGAAGUAGCUGGCGAUAUACUUGAUAUUUUAUCUCGAGCUUCAUUCAUGUUACUCUUACUUUUGCUGGCAAAAGGCUAUGCUGUAACCAGGCAAGAAUUCACUAGCAAACUCUUAGUAUUUGCAAUAUGGAUUUGUUACGGUGUAGUUCAUAUUCUGUUGUACGUCUGGAACUUGACUGAAGUCGAUAUAAUCGAAGAUAUCGACGAGUAUCAAACGUGGCCUGGUUGGUUUAUAUUGUUUUUCCGCAGUAUGAUAAUGUUAUGGUUUCUGUUUGAACUUCGGAGUACAAUGAUGUAUGAGCACAAUACUCAAAAGCUAAACUUCCUACUUCACUUUGGUGCAUCAUCAUUAGUAUGGUUUAUCUAUUUACCUAUAAUAGCCCUCAUAGCUCUUCAAGUCAGUGCAUUGUGGAGGUUUAAACUCCUCUUGGGUAUUACUUAUUCUGUGGAUUGUUUUGCUUACUGUGUAAUGGCCCAUUUACUUUGGCCAACUAGAAGCGAGCAAUAUUUCCUACUGGCCCAAGGAGCCUACAACGGAGACGAGCUUGAUGAAUUUAAUGAGGCUCCUCAUGUGUUGAAUCAUUACAUAGAGCCAAAAGUGAUAGCAUAAUCUCUCUAGGACUAGUUUGUCGAGGAUGCUCACAUAUUCGUCAAAUCAGAGGUCAGUUACUAACCAGAUACUCAUCCGUUAGAGUAGUUUAUUUGGCUAAAUAAGGUGUAAUGAAGACAUUUAGUUAAUGAAGUUGUAAUAUGAUGUUAAGUCAAUACAACGACACUGUGAUGUAUAUUUGCCAAAAGGAAAAAAAAAUAGAAAGAAAUGCUGCGUGCUUCUUGAGACUGAUGUAAUUUGAUAUUUAUACCUAGUAAAAAUAUUGACAAUGUUUAUCAAACAAUGUUUUCAUUAUAUUGGAAUGCUAAAAGUUGAAAAAUAACAAGAACGCAUAAUUUGAACCAUCUAUGAUUUAGUUUUCAUUUAGAGUAAAUCUUUUAUCGAAUAAAACGAUGUUAAAUUCAAUAUUUGCAUUUCAUAAUAUUACUGUAAGAAAUUUCUCACAUUUUUUAACACUUAUUUAUAGUCUCUGUAAGCACAAAAUUUAUUUCAUAAAAGUAAAUUAAAUCAUUUUAAUUAACUGUACUGCUGCUACUCUUAUUUAAUGCACAAUAAAAAAUAAGAAAAGUAUGGCAAAAAUUUAAUUAAGUGAAAAUAAAGUACUCAGUCAAUUCAAUAUAUUUAGGAGUAUAAAAUAUCUUGAAAAGAUAUAAUACUCGAUUAAUCCAUGUAUAUGAAACGUACGAUUCCAAUGAAAAAUAUAAUAAUUACCUGUUCAUUCAAGGAUUUUGUACAAACUUUAAAAAGCGAUUUGCUACAUGUAAAUUAAAUCUUUUAAAAAAUUCUUAUCUCAAAGUGUGAAGAGCAAAAUUGAAUUUGAAGUCUUACAUUUUAUAGCUCUCCAAUCUUUUUAGACCUCAUAUUUAAGUAAAUCAUGUGGUUUUAAUAAUUGAAUUUUAAAAAAUUGUUCAGUUUUUGUAUGAUAAAG
rnacentral:misc_RNA from 1 species